CAAACCCAAACCCAUGAAGAUCCAGGAGCUCGUGGUUGACCUGCUCUUGGAGAUCCUCCUGCGCCUCCCGCCGGAGCCCAUCAACCUCUGCUAUGCCUCCUUGGUCUGCAAGGGCUGGCGCGGCCUAGUCAACGACGCCAGCUUCCUCCGCCGCUUCCGCGAGUUCCACGGUGGGACGCCUCCCUUCCUCGGCUUCUUCGGCAACAAUCCGAAAUCCAUCUACGACGGCGUCAACAACGACCAGCCGCCGCGUCCGCUCUUCGUCCCCACCUUCGG
rnacentral:lncRNA from 1 species